rnacentral:misc_RNA from 1 species
CCUCACGACGAGACCUUUGAGACUGCACUCAUAGAAUUGGGAUAUUUAGUUAGUUGUCUGGAUAGACACCCAAAACUUGGGAAACUAAGAAAUUUAAAGAAAAUGAAGCAAAGAGGAAUUUUUUUUGGGAAAAAAAUAACUUUUUUGCAUCACAUAAUGAUUAGAUAUUAAUGGGCAAGUGAAAUGAUAGGUUUUCUCAAGGGUAAGAGUAUAAUCGGGCUUUGACUACCAAAGCUAAAUACAAUCUUCCCAAAGGGGGCAAAAAAUUAAAAAAAAAGAAAGAAUGACUCUAAUCCUUGAUUAAUUCUGGAAUGCAAUAUUGUAAUGGCAUGUUAUUGGAAUGGCAUUGGCAUAAUGAAAAAGAACUGGAAACUCAACCACAAACAGAAAAUUGAAAGAUAUUCUGUUUUCAAAAUCAAUAUUCUUGAAGGGCUGCUGUAAAUGAAAUUCUAAGGAUUCAGAUGGAAAGAUUCAGAUGAUCAACUAACUUGAUGCAAGUUAUCAAAAUGGGUCAAACCUUGCAACCGAAUCCAUCCUUCAAAUUUUUGUAUAACACAUGGAGU